UACGUAGGGUGCGAGCGUUGUCCGGAUUUAUUGGGCGUAAAGAGCUCGUAGGCGGUUUGUCGCGUCGGCCGUGAAAUCUCCACGCUUAACGUGGAGCGUGCGGUCGAUACGGGCAGACUUGAGUUCGGUAGGGGAGACUGGAAUUCCUGGUGUAGCGGUGAAAUGCGCAGAUAUCAGGAGGAACACCGGUGGCGAAGGCGGGUCUCUGGGCCGAUACUGACGCUGAGACGCGAAAGCGUGGGGAGCAAACAGG
rnacentral:rRNA from 1 species